UUGGGAAUCUUUAAACCUAAAGGCGYAAUGAAAGUGAAGGUUCUCCUCGCGAGAACCGAGGGAAGAUGGGCGGUUUUCACUCUUAAGUGGCCGUUCCGCACUCCCGGGGCGUCUCGUUCUCAUCGCGAGAAGAGGCGCACCAAGAGCGUACACGCUGGGACCCGAAAGAUGGUGAACUAUGCCUGGUCAGGACGAAGUCAGGGGAAACCCUGAUGGAGGUCCGUAGCGAUUCUGACGUGCAAAUCGAUCGUCGGAACUGGGUAUAGGGGCGAAAGACUAAUCGAACCAUCUAGUAGCUGGUUCCCUCCGAAGUUUCCCUCAGGAUAGCUGGCGCUCGUCGCGCACGAGUCUCAUCCGGUAAAGCGAAUGAUUAGAGGCAUUGGGGUCGAAACGACCUCAACCUAUUCUCAAACUUUAAAUGGGUGAGAUCUCCGGCUUGCUCGAAC
rnacentral:rRNA from 1 species